rnacentral:rRNA from 1 species
GACGAACGCUGGCGGCGCGCCUAACACAUGCAAGUCGAACGAGCGAGAGAGAGCUUGCUUUCUCAAGCGAGUGGCGAACGGGUGAGUAACGCGUGAGGAACCUGCCUCAAAGAGGGGGACAACAGUUGGAAACGACUGCUAAUACCGCAUAAGCCCACGACCCGGCAUCGGGUUGAGGGAAAAGGAGCAAUCCGCUUUGAGAUGGCCUCGCGUCCGAUUAGCUGGUUGGUGAGGUAACGGCCCACCAAGGCGACGAUCGGUAGCCGGACUGAGAGGUUGAACGGCCACAUUGGGACUGAGACACGGCCCAGACUCCUACGGGAGGCAGCAGUGGGGAAUAUUGCACAAUGGGGGAAACCCUGAUGCAGCGACGCCGCGUGGAGGAAGAAGGUCUUCGGAUUGUAAACUCCUGUUGUUGAGGAAGAUAAUGACGGUACUCAACAAGGAAGUGACGGCUAACUACGUGCCAGCAGCCGCGGUAAAACGUAGGUCACAAGCGUUGUCCGGAAUUACUGGGUGUAAAGGGAGCGCAGGCGGGAAGACAAGUUGGAAGUGAAAUCUAUGGGCUCAACCCAUAAACUGCUUUCAAAACUGUUUUUCUUGAGUAGUGCAGAGGUAGGCGGAAUUCCCGGUGUAGCGGUGGAAUGCGUAGAUAUCGGGAGGAACACCAGUGGCGAAGGCGGCCUACUGGGCACCAACUGACGCUGAGGCUCGAAAGUGUGGGUAGCAAACAGG